UAGUCGGAGAGAAGUGAAUCAAAAGAUUCUGAUGAUUUAAUGUGAUUUUAUUAUUUAAAGGAGAGGAUUUUGGAAGGUACUUUCUUGUUACUGCUAGCCUUUUGUGUUUGAUUUCUUAUUUUGCAGCUUGUAUAAGGGUCUUGCUCCACGUUGGCUGUGAAGUUGAUGAUCUUCAGAACAAGGAAGGAUAAUUCAGAUAGAUGAGCAGAAUAUACAAGAACAGGUAGUGGAAAUCAAUUCUUCUUCAUCUUUAGGAGCUGUUAAGAAAGGGGUGGGACAUGUUGAGGACGAAUGCUCACGAAAGAGCAUUGAUUUUAAGAUAAAAACUAUUGAGGAAACAAGAUUGAAGACUGUGAUAUAUGUUGAUGCUUUUGUACACAUGCUUACAGAGAUUAUGGACGGGGAUGAUAUGGGAAGGCGAAACAUAUAAAUGAGAUUGAAGUUUAUCUUUAUGAUGUUAGCUUUAUUUUGUUUAAAACUU